ensembl:snoRNA
UGUGUGUGUGUGUGUGUUUGUAAAGUUGGUGAACAAAGGCAUGAAUGACAAGCACAAAAAUAAAUUCUCUUUUGCAACCCAGAACUCAUUGUUCAGUAUGAGUGUUGACACAUACAAGAAGGAAUAUG